GCCAGGCACGGUAGUGCGUGCCUGUAGUCCCAGCUACUUAGGAAGCUGAGGCUGGAGGAUCGCUUGAGUCCAGGAGUUCUGGGCUGUAGUGCACUAUGCCAAUUGGGUGUCCACACUAAGCUCAGCAUCAAUAUGAUAUGAUGUCCUCCCGGGAGUGGGGGACCACCAGGUUGCCUAAGAAGGGGUAAACCGGCCCAGGUCAGAAAUGUAGCAGGUCAAAACUCCCCGUGCUGAUCAGUAGUGCCUGUGAAUAGCCCCUGCACUCCAGCCUGGGCAACAUAGUGAGACCUCGUCUCU
rnacentral:SRP_RNA from 1 species